GUGCUUUUCGCCUUCACCACCACCUUAGCGCAAUUGCAGAUUGCGAACGUGACGGAGCAAGACCUUCACCAACUAUUCACUCUUUCUCCGUUUGCGCUUCUAUUACGACUUACGAGGAAGAGAUUGAAUAGCAUUGCGUUCUUCAUCACAUUGGAUGAUCUCAUUACGCCGGAGGCUUAAUUUACCGAGUUCUUCAUCGGUGUCAUUAUCAAUUUUGUUCUCUAUAGAUGAAAUAAGAGAUUUCCAACUUGAAUAAAGUUAGGGAAAGGGAGAUGGCUGUUGUUCAGGAGAAGGUUGCAGAACUGCGUAACACUAUCAUGUCCCUUAAUAAAAAACCAGAUGUCACCGAGGACUACUUUUAAGAAGUUGCAGGACAAGGCUGAAGAACUGGAUGCAAAGGCGAGUUCAUUGUCCAUUAUCAUAACAUAUGUAGCUUUGGUCUAUAAUGGAAACUUAGCAUUAUGAUUUAUGAGCUAUCAAAUGUGAUGCCUUAUUCUUGUUGACAUUGGAUAAUAUAUGAGUGGAAC